rnacentral:miRNA from 1 species
CUUCCCCUUCCUUGUCCCCACAG